CCAGACUCAAGAAAUCCUCCUGCCUUGGCCUCCCAAAGUGCUGGGAUUACAGACAUGAGCCACUGCACCCAGCCUAGAAGUAUAUUGUUUAACUACCAAAUAUUUGAGACUUUUCUAGAAAGCCUAUUCUUACUGAUUUCUCAUGUAAUUCAGAGAACAUAUUCUGUAAGAUUUUUAAAAAUUUAUUGAGACGUGUUUUAUAGCCCAGAAUGUGGCCCAUCUGGGGAAUGUUGCAUACCCUCUUGAAAAGAACAUCAAUUCUUCGGUUGUUGGGUAUUCUGUGACACUGACUCCUCUGCCUCCCUCUUCCAUUGAUGAGGA
rnacentral:lncRNA from 1 species